AGAGUUUGAUCCUGGCUCAGGAUGAACGCUAGCUACAGGCUUAACACAUGCAAGUCGAGGGGCAGCAUUGGAGUAGCAAUACUCAGAUGGCGACCGGCGCACGGGUGAGUAACACGUAUCCAACCUGCCGCUUACUCGGGGAUAGCCUUUCGAAAGAAAGAUUAAUACCCGAUGGUAUAAAGAGUUCGCAUGUUCUCUUUAUUAAAGAAUUUCGGUAAGCGAUGGGGAUGCGUUCCAUUAGAUAGUUGGCGGGGUAACGGCCCACCAAGUCUACGAUGGAUAGGGGUUCUGAGAGGAAGGUCCCCCGCAUUGGAACUGAGACACGGUCCAAACUCCUACGGGAGGCAGCAGUGAGGAAUAUUGGUCAAUGGACGAGAGUCUGAACCAGCCAAAGUAGCGUGAAGGAUGACUGCCCUAUGGGUUGUAAACUUCUUUUAUAAGGGAAUAAAGUGAGGGACGUGUCCCUUUUUGUAUGUACCUUAUGAAUAAGGAUCGGCUAACUCCGUGCCAGCCGCCGC
rnacentral:rRNA from 1 species